rnacentral:sRNA from 1 species
GGUUGAAGUGUCUUCCUGCAACAAUUGCUAAGGAACAGAAUUGUCAUUUUAUUAAUGAAAUAUGACAUGUGUUGAACAAGAGAAGCUGGGUCAAGCAUUUGAGGAUGCUUUGAGGUUCUGAGGCAACAUUCAACUGGAGAUCUUCAGUACUCGCCAGAUUACAAAAAUUACCUGGCUUUAAUCAACCAUCAUCCUCAUGUCAAAGGAAAUUCCAGCUGCUAUGGAGUGUUGCCUACAGAGGAGCAUGUCUAUAAUUGGAGAAUGGUAAUUCACAGUGCUGCGGACUUCUAUUUUGAAGGAAAUAUUCAUCAAUCUCUGCGGAACAUAACUGAAAACCAGCUGGUACAACCCACUGUUCUCCAGCAAAAGAGGGGAAAAGGCAGGAAGAAGCUCCGACUGUUUGAAUACCUUCACGAAUCCCUGUGUAAUCCAGAGAUGGCAUC